rnacentral:rRNA from 1 species
UACAGAGGGGGGCAAGCGUUGUUCGGAAUUACUGGGCGUAAAGGGCGCGUAGGCGCCUUCUAAGUCGAACGUGAAAUCCCCGGGCUCAACCCGGGAACUGCGUCCGAUACUGGAAGGCUUGAAUCCGGGAGAGGGAUGCGGAAUUCCAGGUGUAGCGGUGAAAUGCGUAGAUAUCUGGAGGAACACCGGUGGCGAAGGCGGCAUCCUGGACCGGCAUUGACGCUGAGGCGCGAAAAGCCAGGGGGAGCAAACGGGG